rnacentral:RNase_P_RNA from 1 species
GCGCCCGUGAGGUAAAGUCCGGGCUCCGCCGGAAAAAAUGCCGGGUAAUAACCGGGCGUCACGGGAAGUUGUACUUAGUACAAAACCCUUUGGCGACAGAUAGUGCAACAGAAAUUGUACCGCCAGGUAACUGGUAAGGGUGAAAAGGCAGUGUAAGAGACUACCGGGUUUCUGGUAACAGAGGCCGCUUGUAAACCUCAUUUGGAGCAAAAUUAAGCAGCAGUUUGGUUUUCCGGACUAUAAACUGCGGGUAAAUUGCUAAAGGCAUCUGGUAACAGAUGUUUCGGAUAGAUGAUUGUGGCAGCUUUUUGCUGUAACAGAACCCGGCUUACUGUUCUGCCUGU